CGGGACGGGUGAGUAAUGUCUGGGAAACUGCCCGAUGGAAGGGGAUAACUACUGGAAACGGUAGCUAAUACCGCAUAACGUCGCAAGACCAAAGAGGGGGACCUUAGGGCCUCUUGCCAUCGGAUGUGCCCAGAUGGGAUUAGCUAGUAGGUGGGGUAAUGGCUCACCUAGGCGACGAUCCCUAGCUGGUCUGAGAGGAUGACCAGCCACACUGGAACUGAGACACGGUCCAG
rnacentral:rRNA from 1 species